UUCCCGGUAGUCUCUCCCUCCUCUCUUGGAAGUCAGCACUGGCUUGUGUCGACUGGACUCUAUGCUGUCUUUCUGAUCAGCAAGCCUGGGAACGCUGCCUUUGGAAACGCCAUUUUCCUAAGACCUUUCAGUCGAUCCAAGGCGUGAGGUGAAACGCUCUCGGUAACCUGUCAAGGGCUGACUUUGGCGUGGAAUCUUCAAGGUUAACUCGCCGGGAUCCUGCUAGCUGACCACAAAGAUUAACUAUCGUACUUGCAGCGAGGAACGGAGGGGAUGAACGGAGAAGAAACCUGCCAGGAAGGACCCUCAUCCGUAAAUCUAGGCAGAGUAAGCCUCGUGAGCCCCUGAGAGCGCGCUACCAUCUUCAUUAAUUCACGCCACAGAUAAUGUCCGAACACCUGCCAUCUGACGCAAAUGGGCUGGGCUGCAGAUUCUCGCACUGGAGCAAGUGGGCAGGGUGGCCACCCUUCCUGGAGUCACCAUCUCCCCUUUUAUCAUCCUUAAAUGAGAGGGACACGAUGCAACUUUGUCUACUCAGCUUCUCAGCUUCUUGAGAGUGAGAACCCCCUCUCCUACCGAUCUGUGCUGUCACAAUGACAGGCUAUCCUGAUGCUGCUGACAGUCUCACUAUAUAGCUCUGGUUGUCCUGGAACUCACUCCGUAGAACAGGCUGGCCUUGAACUCACAGAGAUACGCCUGCCUCUGCCUCUAGAGCCACUAGGAUUAAAGGCAUGGACCAUCACCGCCUGGCUCUGGAUUUGAUUUUCAAGAACAGAAGAAACAAAAUAACCACAAGCUAGAGCUUUUCUGUUUUACCCUUUAUUUUUUUUAAAUUAAAGAUUAUGACAAAA